UGGGUUGUAGCUCAGUGGUAGAGUACAUAUCUAGCAUAUGUGAGGCUCUAGGUUCAAUUCUCAGCACUGAA
rnacentral:tRNA from 1 species